rnacentral:rRNA from 1 species
GGGGUAGCGUAGGCGGCUGAUUAAGUCAGCGGUGAAAGGUAGCAGCUUAACUGUUUUACAUGCCGUUGAUACUGGUUAGCUUGAGUUGACAGAAGGCAGAUAGAAUUCCUGGUGUAGCGGUGAAAUGCUUAGAUACCAGGAGGAAUACCGAUUGCGAAGGCAGUCUGCUGCAGUCACACUGACGCUGAGGCUCGAAGGUGCGGGGAUCAAACAGGAUUAGAUACCCCAGU